UGUAUCUGAAGCCUGAAGAGGAUGAGAACCUCCGGGGGCAAGAGGUUCGACUCGAGCGACGCGAGAGAACGUUGCGUCAGCAACGGCCCGCAGGGCGAGUCAUCCUCUAUCACCGACCA
rnacentral:sRNA from 2 species